UUUCAUUUCUGAAGCGCGAGGUUCAAGUGUGACAUUUAGCGUCAUGCUAUUCUGCAGCAGAUGUCACUUUGUUUUGCUGUUACAGCUGCUGACAGUCAUAGCAGGCUCUUUUCCUUCAGUAAAGGUGAAUCUUCAUGAUGCUGCUACUCUCCCCUGCACUCAGACGUGUUCUGGUCUGGUCACAUGGACUGUGUCCUAUAAACAACUUGACAUUCUGGCUCAGUGUAACCAGACAUCCUGCCAGUCAGGGGAGGGAUUUCACAUGUCCCAUGAUCAGUACCUGAAGGGAGAUCUCUCCCUCACCAUCACUGAUGCCGAUUACACUAAGAAGACCUGGUACACCUGCAGCUGUAAUGGGAAAGACAUCUGUGAUGUGAGUCUACAGAUAGAGGCCCAGAAUUCCUCAAUUCAGAUUAAGCCUGGUGAACCUCUGGUGCUGGAUUUGCUCAUAUCAGAGUCAGUGGAGGUGAUUUAUAACAGCAAAGGUGCAGCUGCUCCCUCUAGUGGACAGAUCUGUACAGUGGCUGGACACUCACUGAAGUGUAAACCUGAAUACACUCGGAGAGUGUCGCUCAUCUCUGCUGUGGAGCUGCAAGGAACCACACCAUCUGAUAGUGGAGUUUACAGCAUCAGAGACACUAAGAAUGAAGAGAUUAUACAGACAUACACAGAUACUGUGGAAGACGUCCAGCCAUGUCCAGAUCAGAGCUCCACAGUGACGGUGUUGACGGUGCUCCUGGCUCUGACGGGGGCGGGGCUUGUGGCAGCAGUGCUGGUGAUUGUGCAGCUGAGGAAAAAAAUUCAGGAGCUCUAGAAAGGAAGUACAGUGAAUGGAACAGUAACCAUGACAACAGAGGAGUUAAUAUGAAUGGACUAAACCACUCAGAUGAAGAGCAGAGGUGAUCUCCCAAUAAUAACCAUGAGAGUCUGAGAGAUGAUAAAUUAUUUCGUUCUCUUUUACACACACACAAACGUAUCUGCACUGCUUUUCUCUGUCCCAUUCAGGGGUCAAAGAUCAGUGUAUGUUCAGUCAUGCAUGAUCAGAGUUUUAUCACAUUAGCUCUGCUGAAGCUCACCUGGUAGAGCAGGUACAGUAAGAUUUGAUCCUCAGAGAGCACACAUGCUGUCAUACUGAUGAAUAUGUAUCAGUCACUAUAAGAGGAUCUGCCCAGUACUGUAAAUGUAAUGUAAAGAUGUUUUAUUUAAAUAUUACUGUGAGAUCCUGUGAUGUGAUUUAAUGCACGUUAAAUACUUUUGUGUUAGCUCAUGGAAAAAACGGACAUUUUGUCUGGAGCAUCUUUGAAUAGUUUAAAUAUUUUAGUUGCCAUUUGUCAACAUGUUUUAAUUAAGAGUCCCCCUUAUUGUUCAGGUUAUAAUUUCAAGAGUCUCCCUUAUUGUUCAGGUUAUAAUUUCAAUAGUCUCCCAUGUGGUCUUGGUGAUUAUGGUCAGUUGUUGUGGUUGGUUUUCCCAAUGCUGUAAUGCUGCAUUCAUUUCAAAGCAUUGUAUUAUGGAAACAGGCCUCAUGUCAUUUGGCCUGCUUCAUGCCACUUGUGACAAAUCAUUAAACAAAUUUAC
ensembl:lncRNA